UGGGGUGCACCAGGCGUGAAAUCUCUGCAAUACAAGAAAGUGUGACAGGGUCAUCACGAGUGCCGACCGCUGAGGUUGGCUUUUACCCUGUUUAGAAAGCUGGGGGCAUAAGGAGAGGGCAACUGUGGUGUCAGCCGGCGCGUGUAAUACCAGCUCUCCGAGUGGUGUGGACGUUUGUUGGGCCUAAAGCAUCCGUAGUCUGGCUGAACAAGUCCCCUGUUAAACCCACGGAUCUAAUGGUUGGUCUCCAGGCGAUAAUGUUCGGCUAGGGUCCGAGAGAGGCAGGAGGUACUCCAUGCGUAGGGGUGAAAUCGGAUAAUCCCGAGAAGACCACCAGUGGCGAAGGCGUUCAGCUAGAACGGGUCUGACGGUGAGGGUUGAAAGUUGCGGGAGCGAACCGGAUGAGAUACCCGGGUAGUCCCACCGUUAAACGAUGCACACUAGGUGUCAGGACGGCCACGUGCCGUUAAUAGUGCCGCAGGGAAGUUCUUAAGUUCGCCGCCUGGGGAGUACGAUCGCAAGAUUGAAACUUAAAGGAAU
rnacentral:rRNA from 1 species